rnacentral:rRNA from 1 species
CUGGGCUUGACAUGGCCUGGCAACUCUCAGAGAUGGGAGCCCCCGAAAGGGUCAGGUCACAGGUGCUGCAUGGCUGUCGUCAGCUCGUGUCGUGAGAUGUUGGGUUAAGUCCCGCAACGAGCGCAACCCUUGCUGCCAGUUAGAAUGUCUGGCGGGACUGCCGGGAGAAACCCGGAGGAAGGCGGGGAUGACGUCAAGUCAGCACGGCCCUUACGUCCAGGGCUACACACACGCUACAAUGGCCGCGACAAAGCGCAGCGAAAGGGCGACCUGGAGCGAAUCGCAGCAAACGCGGUCUCAGUUCGGAUUGCAGGCCGCAACUCGCCUGCAUGAAGUCGGAGUUGCUAGUAACCGCCGGUCAGCACACGGCGGUGAAUAUGUUCCC